rnacentral:rRNA from 1 species
GAGUUUGAUCAUGGCUCAGAUUGAACGCUGGCGGCAUGCCUAACACAUGCAAGUCGAACGGGAGUAGCAAUACUCUAGUGGCGGACGGGUGAGGAAUACAUAGGAAUUUGCCCUUAAGUGGGGGAUAGUCCGGGGAAACUCGGUUUAAUACCGCAUGAUCUCGUGAGAGCAAAGCAGGGGACCGCAAGGCCUUGCGCUUUUGGAGAAGCCUAUGUCGGAUUAGCUAGUUGGUGAGGUAAUGGCUCACCAAGGCGACGAUCCGUAACUGGUCUGAGAGGAUGAUCAGUCACACCGAAACUGAGACACRGUCCGGACUCCUACGGGAGGCAGCAGUGGGGAAUAUUGGACAAUGGGCGAAAGCCUGAUCCAGCAAUGCCGCGUGUGUGAAGAAGGCCUUCGGGUUGUAAAGCACUUUAGGUUGGGAAGAAAAAAUUCGGGCGAAUAUCCCKAGUCUUGACGGUACCGACAGAAUAAGCACCGGCUAACUCUGUGCCAGCAGCCGCGGUAAUACG